ACUUUUUUCGUAUUUCCUCAACAAAAAUGGUCGUAGGGUCAGAACAGAAGGCUAACCCAGCCGAUGUUGUUCUGGUUGUUGAGGCCACUGCAAAUCUUAGUGCUUACAUUGAUGUACUGAAGAAAUACUACAUUAUUCCUUCUCUGGAAGUUUUCAAUGGAGGCCCUCCUGAUCCAACAGACAUUGGACAUGAUGUAAAUAUCCUCAUUUUGACACCUGUCAUUGUGUUUAGAAUUGUAAAUGAAAUAUUGAUAGAAGGCGCUUGUCUUAAGCCAUAUGUUGAUCUUCAAAAUGAUUUGUUUUGCAGUACAGUUGUUCGCUAUACAAUCUUGUCACAUUCUUUUCGGCUGAUGUUAUUCCCGACACAACUUCAAGAUGUUCCGGUGUAACAACAAAUAUUCAUGAAUUCAUCACCUGGUUGGAUGAUUUACCAUUAAUUGGAGGAGGCGGGGAGUCCUGUAGUCACAUAACAGAGGGGUUGAGUACAGCUCUACAUGUUUUCGAUGAUCUGCAGAAAGUUCGAAUAGAUAUUGGAUUACCUGUGCAGCGACACUGUAUAUUGGUAUGCAAUUCCCCUCCGUACAAUCUCCCCAGCCAGGAAGGUGUUCGCUAUGUCGGGUACAUGGCCGACCAAUUAGCCAGCAUGAUGGCCAAGAGAGGGAUACACCUUUCAAUUAUCUCUCCAAGAAAAAUUGCAGCUCUUCAGAAGCUGUAUGAAGAGUCAACUCUACCCACAGACAUGUCUGCCCCAGUCAAAGACUUCACCACAGACCCCCGCCAUCUUGUGUUACUGCAUGGGUUCCAACUGGAGGAGAGAGCCCACAGUCCGGCUGGGGACCAUGUCAACAUAGAGAAGCCUGCAGAGAAUAAAAACCCGUCUAGUCCUGCACCCCCAAGUUUUGCCCCCUCCACAGGAUUUUCACCAGCCCCUUCACUGAGUGAGGAUUCUACAGAAUUCAAAAAACCCAACACGACAUCUGGUGGAACUCCAUUCAGUACACAAGACUCCAUUGCAUCCAGUAUGCCAUCUUUGCCAUCUCCACAGCAACCUCAAAUGAGCCAGCCAUCCCCCUCCCAAGGAAUCUCCAUGCAGCACAGUCCAGCAAUGCCACCGAUGCAGCAGAACCCACCUCAACAACAACCCCAACAACAACCAAUGGUAUCACAGCCCCAAGUAACCAAUCAAAUGCCACCACAGUCUCAGUAUGAUCCAAUGAAAAUGCAGAACAUGAUGCCAAAUGACAUGCAGAACAGGAGCACAGCAAUGGCCACCAAUCCCAUCAACCAACCCGUGUUCUCCCAGCCCACGAUGGAUCAACAGCCCAAUGUGAACAUGCCGGCACAGCCCGGUCAGCCCAACCCGAUGAAGGACAGGAAGAUUAUCUGGCAAGGGAUCCUUGAGUGGCAGGAGAAGAUGAAGGCGGGGGGACCUCAGACCCCCAAAGUCAACCGCCAGCUCCAGUGUCACCUGUCCAUAGGUCAGGCCGACCCAGAUAUAAAUGCCAUGAACUGGCCGAAGGUCCUGAUAAUGCAGUUGAUCCCCCAGUCCCUGUUGAACUCCACUCAGCUGCAGCCUCUCUUUAAAAACUCCCGCCAGGUGGCCUUCCACUUUGGCAGUCAGAACCUUGACGACCUAAGGAAUCUGUACAAGGUCAUGGGCACUGGUUUUGCUGGUUGUGUACACUUUCCAGCUGGGAGUCAGUGUGAGGUUCGCGUAUUACUGUUGUUGUUCAGCAACAAAAGAAGAGCCUUUAUUGGACUUAUCCCCAAUGACCAGACUGCGUUUGUUAACGGGAUAAGGAGUGUUAUCUACUCCCACAAAAUCAGGCAACAACAACAGCAGCAAAGACCGGAUCAGCAACCACAAAUGCCACAGCAGACAGGGUUUCCUGGGCCACAGCAAACCAUGCCCAACCAACCAGUGCAGAAUCCCCAAGGGGCCCAAUUUGGGGUACAACAGAUGCCACAGGUUAGCAUGCAGAAUCCCAUGAUGACUCAACAACAGGCGAACAUGCAAAAGCAAAUGCAGGCAACACAGAUAGCAAAACAGCAAGAACAACAGAAGCUACUAGCACAACAAAGAUUACAGCAACAAAGGCAACUCCAAAUGCAACAGAUGCAGCAGCAGCAACAGCAGCAGCAACAACCUGGUCUCAACAAUCAGCAGCAACAACAGCUGACUCAAUUGCUGAUGCAACAGCAGCAACAGGGCCAGAGACAACCCCAGAUGAUCAUCACCCAAGGGCGAGGCGGUCAGAUUCUACACCAGGGACACCAACAAGUGAUGGGGGGUGGGCAGGUGCUCCAGGGAAACAUGCCCCAAAUGGCUCAACAGGGCCCCUCCUCCGCUCCUCAGGGGGGUAACAUGUUUGAUGAUCUGAAUAUGGAAUUCUUAUGAACAAAUGUGCUUCAUUUUGUUUUUAUUAUAUAUACAUGUACUUAUUGAUGGGACACUUGUUAAACUGUUUUUGUGCUGUGUUGAUAAAUCAUGAACAAAACUAAUUUACUUGCAUGUGCGUGUACAGCUUGUAUACAUGCAUUUACAUGAGGGGAAAGGUAGACAAAUGAAAAAUAAUCUACAGCUGUUAUCUAAAAUAUGAAUGUUUUGAUGUAAAUUUAAUGUUUUGAUGUAAAUUGUGCUCCAGAAUAUCUCAAAAUUAAAUAUGCUGUUUUUGGAAUUUUCUUUUGACAUUAUCAUUAAAAAUGUUCAUGAUUUAAAAAAAGAACAUGUUCAGAUAUAGAUGACUAUGAUAUCAUAUUGAUUAGAUUGUAUCAUCUGCCUUGCUUUAUUAUCAUGUACUUAAGAAACUACUUUGUUAUUUCUGUUUUGCUGGAGAGAGAGAGAGAGAGAGAGAGAGAGAGAGAGAGAGAGAGAGAGAGAGAGGAGAGAGAGAGAGCAAUAAUGUGGUUGUUUACAAUACAUGUGAACUGUAUGUUAAUUUUUACACAGUAUUUGAUGUGUUAAAAAUACUGAAGUAUGUUGGCUUCAAGUGAAGUUACUUUAAGCUUUAAAAAUGUUGUUAUAAAAAUUGAAAAUAAUAAUAAAAUGUCACAAUUGUGAUAACAAAAAAAUAAAGUGCAAUAUGUA
rnacentral:misc_RNA from 1 species